AUUGAACGCUGGCGGCAGGCCUAACACAUGCAAGUCGAACGGUAACAGAAAGCAGCUUGCUGCUUUGCUGACGAGUGGCGGACGGGUGAGUAAUGUCUGGGAAACCGCCUGAUGGAGGGGGAUAACUACUGGAAACGGUAGCUAAUACCGCAUAACGUCGCAAGACCAAAGAGGGGGACCUUCGGGCCUCUUGCCAUCGGAUGUGCCCAGAUGGGAUUAGCUAGUAGGUGGGGUAAAGGCUCACCUAGGCGACGAUCCCUAGCUGGUCUGAGAGGAUGACCAGCCACACUGGAACUGAGACACGGUCCAGACUCCUACGGGAGGCAGCAGUGGGGAAUAUUGCACAAUGGGCGCAAGCCUGAUGCAGCCAUGCCGCGUGUAUGAAGAAGGCCUUCGGGUUGUAAAGUACUUUCAGCGGGGAGGAAGGGAGUAAAGUUAAUACCUUUGCUCAUUGACGUUACCCGCAGAAGAAGCACCGGCUAACUCCGUG
rnacentral:rRNA from 1 species